CGUAACUGAUUUCUCUUUUAUCAUAUCAUACUCAACCUGGGAAGCUUAUUAUGAAUUUUUUUUUUUUUUUUUUUAAUUAAGUGCUUUGUGCUAUGUAGUUCGCUCUUGGGCUAGCUUCGAACAAGCUUUCUCUUUUUCAAUAUUGUCGCCGGUACGAUUCGUCUUCAAGGCAUUGCAGACUUGCCUAUCAAUACUACCAUUAUGGAGAGCACCAGCACACAAGUGAUUAACAUAAGAAUGAAUCACUUUGUACCUAUUUCCACAAAACUAUGUCGAUAUGGUUCCAUUCUGGUUGUUGCAUGAUGCUGUCGUCCAAUCAAUAAUUUUGAACGAGUAACAUGAUUCUCCUUGGGAGUUUUAUAUUAUUGUUUGUUAUAUGUUUAUUUGAAUAGAUAAAUAUAUGUGUCGAAAGAAGCACGCCUAUCUAUGUAUUCCACUCAUAGAGACGCGUACUUGUCAACAAGUAAGUUUCAAAUGGUGCCUUGCUUAUAUAUGGACUUGUCUAUUUAGUGUCUAUCGUACAUUAUAUUUUUACAUAGCAACGAUCCGGAACUACUAGUCACAUAAGACAGAUCUCCUAUAGGACCGUUUUGUUUCCUUUUUAUCUUCAGUAACUAUAAUUGCUUCCCGGAGUAUAAGCAUUUAUUUACCAUAGGUAUUUAUUUUACCCAAUUUAAACCUGUGCUGUCGGGUAGAUAAGAGUAUUACUAUCGGAUCUAAGGUAACAUAUAAGUAAUACAAUAACAUAGUAAGACAGCCAAUGUUUUUUUCUCCAAAAAUCUCUAUCAUUAUUAUUGUUAUUACUCACGGCAGGUCGCUACUCCAGUCGCUCAUUUAUACGCGUGAAUCCACGACUAUGCACGCAUGCUGACUCCUUGAGUUGGUAUUACAUUGUUUUAAUAUAUAUAUAUAUAUUACGUUGUUCGGUUACUAACAUAAACCGACUUACUCGUACAUAAAGUUGCCGUGCGUGACCUGCUUAAAUCAUUCCAUCAUUCUUUCGGUGAAUUCACGAGUGUAGUAAUCGAUUAUAGCCCCAUCCCCUUUAUAAAAAUAUCGGUGACUAUCAAUCAACCAUUACCAAAAGCAACGGCUGUAUAUCCAUCUGUAUAUGCAUCCGUGUAUAGCUUUACGAUGACGAUGAACUUAGAUCAAAUUUCGGGUCGAGGGGUGGAUAAUUCAUUCGUAAAUAGACAUUUUCAUGUGUCCCUUCCCCCACAGUAAAUUAUUUGCAGAAGUACCAUUUUUGUUUUUAUUUUAGCUAAGUUAUUCAUCUUUUUCCUUUGUUCUUUCUUAAUGAUUGCGGUAGUCUUCUAUGAGCAAAUACGUAUCGCAUCAGGUCAGGUAUAAUCCGUUACAUGACAAACGGAUAUGAUACUCGCAAAAAAUAGAAACUCAAAAUGAACAUUUUUUUCGUACUCGAUAUAUCUAAAAUUGAAAGGUGCUACAACUGUUUUGCAUUAGUGUAAUUGGUCGAUUGAGUUCGACUUAAGUUUGCUAUCCUCUAAGUCUAUAGAAGAAUACGCUUCAAAUCAUCUUUAUGUAUGCACAACUUUGUCAUUUGGAUUUGCAUUUACCGAAAUACUAUGCUUAGCAUGAUAAAGAGCAAACCGAUGGUAACUUCUCCCAUCAAUACCUAGGGCACAGCUAAUAAAUCAUCGGCGGAGAUUUUCUCCGUAUGUAAAAACGAACCGUUCAUAUAAAUACAUUGACGCCAAAACACACAAGUCAGUACUCGUUAUGGAAAAACAACAACAGCCAUAUGAUACGAAUGCAGUACGGCAAUCCAAUCAUUUGCGAAACCUUUGCGAACAAGAACUUGGUAAUAGAAGACGCGCGUUUACAACUCUGAAAUAGGUGACCGUAACAUUAUAAGAGACUGACUCAUUUGUACGCCAUUAUUGCUAACAGAUAUAGGGCUACGCUUGCUGUUAUGCAACUAGCGGGAUGUCAACAAAGCGGACGAUUUCGUCUGCUCCAAAUAGCUGUCUUGUUAAAGCCACGUGGUAUUAAGAAACAGAUUCCAGGCAAGUCUGAAAGGCCGCACCGAUACAAGGCUAUGCUUAUAAAGCAAUCGGAAGAGUGAUUACUAAUUAAUUCAAGCCCUAAAAAAAGGUCAAAGAUGAAACACCGAAACAAGUCCCUGCGAUUUGUUCACGGGUGACGGGCGGAUGUGUACAACCAUAAAAAUGCGUAAUUUAUGCACGUAUUUUACUUAUGGAUAGAAGCGACGACCAGCGGCAGUUUUGGCUUACGAACAUUGUCAUCUUUAUAAUGGAUACAUGUCUGCAUUUUUUUGUAUCUAUAAUAAUCGUUAGAGACGUAUGGGUUUCGAGAAUAUCCAAAUGCGGUACGUAGUGAAAACGAUAAGUAUUAUGUGAAAAACGGUCUAUAGAAUUAUGCAUCUGCAGUGAUACGACCGAUAGGUGGUUAGUAAGAAUUUUUAAUAAUUUCUCAAUCGCCAGCGAUAUGAUACUUCGCAACAUCCAAUAAACAAAUCGAGACUCCUUUAUAUAAUACAUAGAAUACUAAAUUAUUUCGUUUACCGAACGUUUAUCAGUAUAUCUAUAUCAGAUUUAUAGCAGAGCAUUAUCAAAGAUGAUAGAAACAAAAAUAAUUAACGCAAUAGAUAUCACAAGAAAAGAUAAGUUAUUUCAAAAACAGCAUCAACUGUUGCCAGUUGCUCCCAGCAUUGAACAAACGCGUAAGUUACUAAACACGCUAACGAAUGAAUGCAUAGACACAUACACACAUUUACACACCUAUAGACACAGUGCUAUGAUGUUAACAACCACGAAUAAUAGAAUGUGUAGAAAUUUUCAUUCCAACAUUCUUAUACAACUUUUCCUCGUGUGAAUAUUUUUGCCAUCGCCACCUUUUUUAUAGACAUUUGCGUGUGAGACAAUGCAGACUGCUCCAAAAGUUUCACUAUUCAACAAAGAGACAAAGUGCCGUGACAAUAUAUAAACACCCUUUACCCUGGCCAUUAGCCCACUGAUGUGAUAAGAUGGUCAAGGUCUUGUAACCGACAGAAAAAAAUCGGGAAAUCACUUUAGAUUAACUAUAAGCUGUUCGGACCUGUGUCACAAAUUGUGCCUUUAAGGGUCUAGAUAGUGUACGUCAUCUGCUGCAAUCUCGACCCUAGUUUCUCUGCUACCGCUGAAAGAUAUUGCAUAUGUCUAUUCAAUGGGUGCCGUUAGCGAUAACCUAAUAACAUAGGGACUGCUUUCUCCACAUAUCUUUCAGAAGUCUUUACUUCUAGGCUAGGCACAAAGCAUCAUUCUACCCCAUGGUUUUGCACUGCGACAAAGGACGAAUAAAAGAGCUACAAUGGGAUUUUGAUGAUUUUUUAAUGUUUAAUGGACUACGAGAAAUUAUGACAUUAUACAGAAUAAUCAUGUUGAUAGAGGCUAUUCAACAUACACAACAUCUAUCUCCCUAUGUUUUUCAAUGGAGACCUGAGUAAAACGCCUCUGUGGUUUUAUAGAUCUUUAUCCUUAAGCCAUUUUAGAUAGAACCCAGCGACCUAGGUAUCUAAACAGUAAAUUUAACCUCACAAUAGGGCAUUGACUCUUAGCUAAAGAUAGCGGAAUUUGUUCCAUUAGAUAAUUAAGUAUAAAUUUCCACAUAGUUUUGUGAAUUGUCAACGCGGAAGUGAAUGAUUGGCUAUUAGUAUUGGAGAAGCUGAACUCUACUCAACUGUCAAUGUUUUCAGUGUCUGUGUGAAUCCGGCAACCUUGCCAAAGAUAGACGUAAUUUGAUUUAGUCCUCUUGAUGUUGCACUACGGAUGUGAUUUUCACAACAAACUAUAGAAAAAUGUGCGUUUUCGAUUAACAAAAAAAUCAAAUUAUUAUUAUAUCAACUAGUAUAGAUAAGUUCUACGUGCACAGCUUUAAAAGCCCUAUUUUUUCAGAAUUAAUUCUAAUAAAUGGCCGCGAAAGGACAAAGCCAUUUUGUACUGGGAUAAACGACUCUUCAGUUGCAAUGAUCUUUAUAGAACGCGCCCUUAGUAAUAAGCACAAAGUCUAUUUUUCUUCUGUUUUUUUGCGACACGUGACGCCUGCUUUUUUGUCGUUGCCGGACAAGACCAACAAUGUCAAAUGAAGGAAUGAACCCUUCCCUAGUGUCCUUAAUCAGGAAUGUCGGUGUCGCGCGUUAACUUGGCACUCCUUUGUGCAUAUUUUUACUCUGCGUAGUAUUUUACGCUCUAUGACCUGGCCUUGUGAAAGCUCGAUGCGGUGAUUACCGCGUGCAGUAAGCUAAUGAGUUCAUAUAGAUAAUCAAUUUUGCUGAGACCACCGGCAGAUAUAGUAGUAAUCGUUGGCUCCUUAAUUCUUUGUAAGUAUCGGGUAGUUAUGUAUGUAUAGAGUAUUUCAAUGAAUCCCUCAUUGCUUCAUCGAACAGCAUACUAGUAUAAUUCCGUAUCAGACAUAUUUGGAAAUUAUAUAUACAUCUUGUAACGGUUACCAGGGCCUCAUUUUUAUUUCUUU